UGGCUUUUACUGCUUGUGACCCAAGAGCUAUGAAGGAUCCUUCUGCGAGACUGAAACUGAACCAACAGAAGGUCACCCAGAGGAGAAUUCCUUCCCCGCCAUUUCCAUCAUCGCGGGCCUUGCCGCCGUUGCUGUCCUAGUGACCCUGAUCGCCGCCAUACUCUCCUGCUGGUACAUUUCCAGGAAACGUGCACAGAAUCCCUCUGCAAGAGAUGUCCGGUCUCUGCACCCUUCCACGCUCCCCUCGCCAGCUCAACAAGCCCUCUGCGAUGUGUCCAACCCGGCCUUUGAACAGGACUAAAAUCAAUGGCUCUGGGUUCUUAGUACAAGUCUGUUUCCGGAUUUUCUUCUUGUUCCUGUGUUAGAUAAAGUGCUUCUCUGCCAAGCUGUCAGCCAGAAUAAA